rnacentral:rRNA from 1 species
GACGAACGCUGGCGGCGUGCCUAACACAUGCAAGUCGAGCGAAUGAAGUUUCUUCGGGAGUGGAUUUAGCGGCGGACGGGUGAGUAACACGUGGGCAACUCGCCUCCUAGAGGGGAAUAGCCUUCCGAAAGGGAGAUUAAUACCGCAUACGACUGUAGUAUUGCAUGAUACAGCAAUUAAAGGGGCAAUCCGCGAUGAGAUGGGCACGCGGCGCAUUAGCUAGUUGGUGAGGUAACGGCUCACCAAGGCGACGACGCGUAGACGAGCUGAGAGGGUGAUCGGACACUGUGGCGCGAAGCCGCGGCCGAGACUCCUACGGGAGGCAGGAGUGGGGGAUAUAGCACAAUGGCGGGAGCCAUGAUGCAGCAACGCCGGGUGAGUGAUGACGGCCUUCGAGUUGUAAAGCUCUGUCUUCAGGGACGAUAAUGACGGUACCUGAGGAGGAAGCCACGGCUAACUACGUG